AACGCGAAGAACCUUACCUACCCUUGACAUCCUAAGAAGUUUGCAGAGAUGCGAAUGUGCCGAAAGGAACUUAGAGACAGGUGCUGCAUGGCUGUCGUCAGCUCGUGUUGUGAGAUGUUGGGUUAAGUCCCGUAACGAGCGCAACCCUUAUCCUUAGUUGCCAACAUGUAAUGGUGGGGACUCUAAGGAGACUGCUGGUGAUGAACCGGAGGAAGGCGGGGACGACGUCAAGUCAUCAUGGCCUUUAUGGGUAGGGCUACACACGUGCUACAAUGGGGCGCACAGAGGGUUGCCAACCAGCGAUGGGGAGCCAAUCUCUUAAAACGCCUCGUAGUCCGGAUCGGAGUCUGCAACUCGACUCCGUGAAGUCGGAAUCGCUAGUAAUCGCGAAUCAGAACGUCGCGGUGAAUACGUUCCCGGGCCUUGUACACACCGCGUGUCU
rnacentral:rRNA from 1 species